rnacentral:rRNA from 1 species
UACGAAGGGGACUAGCGUUGUUCGGAAUUACUGGGCGUAAAGCGCACGUAGGCGGCUUUGUUAGUCAGGUGUGAAAUCCCGGGGCUCAACCUCGGAACUGCCUUUGAUACUGCAAAUCUCGAGUCCGAUAGAGGUGGGUGGAAUUCCUAGUGUAGAGGUGAAAUUCGUAGAUAUUAGGAAGAACACCAGUGGCGAAGGCGGCCCACUGGAUCGGUACUGACGCUGAGGAGCGAAAGCGUGGGGAGCGAACAGG